GCUGUGAUGGCCGAGUGGUUAAGGCUUUGAAAUCCAAUGGGGUUUCUCCCGCGCAGGUUAGAACCCUGCUCUCAGCG